CCUACGGGUGGCAGCAGUAGGGAAUAUUGCUCAAUGGGGGAAACCCUGAAGCAGCAACGCCGCGUGGAGGAUGAAGGUUUUCGGAUUGUAAACUCCUUUUGGUAGAGGAGAUAAUGACGGUAUCUAACGAAUAAGCACCGGCUAACUCCGUUCCAGCAGCCGCGGUAAUACGGAGGGUGCAAGCGUUACUCGGAAUCACUGCGCGUAAAGAGGGCGUAGGCGGGAUAGCAAGUCAGAUGUGAAAUCCUAUGGCUUAACCAUAGAACUGCAGUUGAAACUGUUAUUCUAGAGUAGGGGAGAGGUAGGUGGAAUGCUUGGUGUAGGGGUAAAAUCCGUAGAGAUCAAGAGGAAUACUCAUUGCGAAGGCGACCUGCUAGAACAUAACUGACGCUGAUGCGCGAAAGCGUGGGGAGCAAACAGGAUUAGAUACCCCAGUAGUC
rnacentral:rRNA from 1 species